AAUACAUAGGUGCAAGAGGCGAACCAGGGGAACUGAAACAUCUAAGUACCCUGAGGAAAAGAAAUCAACCGAGAUUCCCUUAGUAGUGGCGAGCGAACGGGGACCAGCCCUUAAGUUGAUUUGAGAUUAGUGGAACGCUCUGGAAAGUGCGGCCAUAGUGGGUGAUAGCCCCGUACACGAAAAUCUCUUAUCAAUGAAAUCGAGUAGGACGGAGCACGAGAAACUUUGUCUGAAUAUGGGGGGACCAUCCUCCAAGGCUAAAUACUACUGACUGACCGAUAGU
rnacentral:rRNA from 1 species